GACGAACGCUGGCGGCGUGCUUAACACAUGCAAGUCGAGCGGUAAGGCCCUUUCGGGGGUACACGAGCGGCGAACGGGUGAGUAACACGUGGGUGACCUGCCCUCAGCUCUGGGAUAAGCCUGGGAAACUGGGUCUAAUACUGGAUAUGACUCCACGGUGCAUGUCGUGGGGUGGAAAGCCUUGUGCGGCUGAGGAUGGGCCCGCGGCCUAUCAGCUUGUUGGUGGGGUGANGGCCUACCAAGGCGACGACGGGUAGCCGGCCUGAGAGGGCGACCGGCCACACUGGGACUGAGACACGGCCCAGACUCCUACGGGAGGCAGCAGUGGGGAAUCUUGCGCAAUGGGCGAAAGCCUGACGCAGCGACGCCGCGUGAGGGAUGACGCCU
rnacentral:rRNA from 1 species